rnacentral:rRNA from 1 species
ACGGUGCACUUCCUAACACGGGGGAAGACCACGGUGAGGUGGAUAACCGUGGCAAUUCUAGAGCUAAUACAUGCGACUCAAGUCCCGACUGGGACGGGGAUCCUCGUCGAGGGGGUCUUCGCCUUCGGAAGGGAAGCUUUUAUUAGAUCAAAAACCAACGCUCGAUUCGGUUUGCGAGCAGGUUACUUGAUGACUCUGGAUAAACGUGGCUGAUCGAGAAGUCAAAACGACCGGCGACAAGUCGUACAAGUGUUUGACUUAUCAACUCGCUGGCAAGCUACCGGCAUGCCACGGUGCUCACGGGUGACGGGGAAUCAGGGUUCGAUUCCGGAGAGGGAGCCUGAGAAACGGCUGCCACAUCCAAGGAAGGCAGCAGGCGCGCAAAUUACCCAAUUUCAGAACGAAGAGGUAGUGACGAAAAAUAACGAUGCAGAACUCGAUCCGAGGCUCUGCAAUCGGAAUGGGCACAGCCCAAAACAUUUAACGAGUAACAACUGGAGGGCAAGUCUGG